AAUGAACGUUGGCGGCGUGGAUUAGGCAUGCAAGUCGCGCGACAAGGAACCUUCGGGUUCUGGAGGAGCGGCAAACGGGGUAGUAAGGCAUCGGAACGUACCCUCUUGUUGGGAAUAGCCGCGGGAAACUGCGAGUAAUGCCCAAUAAUCCCUACGGGGCAAAGGUCCGCCGCAGGAGGAGCGGCCGAUGUGAUACCAGCUAGUUGGUGAGGUAAUGGCUCACCAAGGCUUAGACGUCUAGGGGGUGUGAGAGCAUGGCCCCCACCACUGGGACGUGAGAUACUGCCACGACACCUACGGGUGGCUGCAGUCGAGAAUCUUCGGCGAAUAGGGCGGCAAGACCU
rnacentral:rRNA from 1 species